rnacentral:rRNA from 1 species
UAGGGAAUAUUGCGCAAUGGACGAAAGUCUGACGCAGCAACGCCGCGUGGGUGAUGAAGCAUUUCGGUGUGUAAAACCCUGUCAGUGGGGAAGAAACGUGCGAGGAGUCACUGCCUUGCGCCUGACGGUACCCACAGAGGAAGUCCCGGCUAACUCCGUGCCAGCAGCCGCGGUAAUACGGGGGGGACAAGCGUUGUUCGGAUUUACUGGGCGUAAAGGGCGCGUAGGCGGACCGACAAGUCGGAUGUGAAACCUGACAGCUUAACUGGCAGCCUGCAUUUGAUACUGUCGGCCUUGAGUACAGGAGAGGAGAAUGGAAUUCCAGGUGUAGCGGUGAAAUGCGUAGAUAUCUGGAAGAACACCGGUAGCGAAGGCGGUUCUCUGGACUGAUACUGACGCUUAAGCGCGAAGGCUUGGGGAGCAAACA